CCGGUAGGGCCGCCUGUGGGCUGACGAUGUUGGAGGCGGAGUUACCCAUUCUCUGAAAGAGCUGGUGGGCCGUCCUGGUGGCGGCGAGCAUGGGUGGAAUAAGACAGAAGUGAUGGUGUGUGACCUCUGAGACUAAGCCAUAGAAGGCAAGGCAGCUUCCUUCUUGCUCACUUUUGGAUCACUCCCUCCGGGGAAGCAAGCUGUCACAUCAUGAAGAUUCUCAAUCAGCCCAAUGGAGAAGCCCACAUGGUGAGGAAAGGAGGUCUCCUGCCAACGGCCAGCUUUACCAUGGAAUAGUUGAUAUCCAAAAGCUGCACGUAUUUAAUGGAUAAAUUUGAUGAGUUUGGACCCAUGCAAACAGCCGUAAAACCAGCAGCACAAUCAAGGUUGCAAAGCCUCUACAAACCCAUUUCUGAAGUCAGGUGGUGACACUGAUCACCUGGCAGGCUGAAUAGGGGGAAGCCAGCCUAGCGUUUUCUGCAGAACAGCGCCUGGAAAUGACAUUGGGGUCCAGUGACUGGUGGGAGGCCCAGAGCGAGGUGAAGAUCUGGAUUCAGGAAGAUGUUAUGGAUAGUUCUAAAAAUAAAUAUUUCCACCAAGCAUAUGUCCGGCUGCAUUAAUAUCCUACACCAGAAGUCAGAGUGCUGAGUCACUCUUGGCCAGGGCAAGCUGUCACUUCUUAACUUCACCCUUGUUCGGAGCACUGAACCCCAGACCCGACCAGCAUGACGAGACGGAACGUGAGGAGGGAUGAGAGUGGCCAGUAUGGAGCUAUGAAAAAUGCACCUCUGUCUGUCUUUUCCUGGCUACCUCAGACUGAGGGGAAAUUCCAAUCAAGGUCACUCCUGGGAAAUAUCAACCUUAUUCAUCUACUGGAACUUUAAAUUAAAAAGCUACCUAAUUCUUUGA